CCUACGGGCGGCAGCAGUGGGGAAUAUUGGACAAUGGGGGCAACCCUGAUCCAGCCAUGCCGCGUGUGUGAAGAAGGCCCUCGGGUUGUAAAGCACUUUCAGUGAGGAAGAACGCCUGGUGGUUAAUACCCAUCAGGAAAGACAUCACUCACAGAAGAAGCACCGGCUAACUCCGUGCCAGCAGCCGCGGUAAUACGGAGGGUGCGAGCGUUAAUCGGAAUUACUGGGCGUAAAGCGCGCGUAGGUGGCUUGAUAAGCCGGUUGUGAAAGCCCCGGGCUCAACCUGGGAACGGCAUCCGGAACUGUCAAGCUAGAGUGCAGGAGAGGAAGGUAGAAUUCCCGGUGUAGCGGUGAAAUGCGUAGAGAUCGGGAGGAAUACCAGUGGCGAAGGCGGCCUUCUGGACUGACACUGACACUGAGGUGCGAAAGCGUGGGUAGUAAACAGGAUUAGAUACCCUGGUAGUC
rnacentral:rRNA from 1 species